AAAAUGGUUCUUAUUAGAACCAUUCAAAUUUUGUAUUGAGCUCUA
rfam:Chlorocebus sabaeus isolate 1994-021 chromosome X, whole genome shotgun sequence.